UCGUUUAGAACUCGGGGGUAUUUAUAAGGCAGUUUAGUAUUACCUGAUGUGCCUGCUUGCAGGAGCAGGACCGUACCUCUGAUGGCGUCUGACAUUACCGAUGGCGUUGCGUCGAGAACCGAACUGCCGCAGGGUAUGGGCGAGCAUUGGUCGUCAUCCUCCUCUGCCUCGGUCAAGCGUGCCAGGUCAGACGACGAUGGGAUUGUUGUCUG
rnacentral:lncRNA from 1 species